rnacentral:lncRNA from 1 species
GUUUCUUUUCAUUUUGGUGAUGCAGUGUUUUUAAUUUCAUCUUCACAUAAACAAGCAUUAAAAUACAAUUCUACGUAGGUAAAAUCAUUAUUACAGAACUAGGAGAGAAUUCUGUAUCACACAGCAUGGAUGCCACUUAUUCAGAUAUUCUGCACUGUUGUCAGGGACAGAGGAGGACAUAAAUCAUCCUAUUUUCUUCCUACAACACCCUCUGGACUGGAAAACAUCUCUCUAGUCUGUGUUCCACUUCGUAGACAGACUCUACUUGGAUAGCUACCAGUAUCUUUGUUCUUAUCUGAAGCAACAAAAUCAUCAGGUUCUUUGCUUUCCACUUUUUCCAGGGUAGGAAAAACUACUAAACAUUCAGGUUAAAAUCAUUAAAAGCAUCUUUUGCAUC